rnacentral:rRNA from 1 species
CCUACGGGAGGCAGCAGUGGGGGAUAUUGCACAAUGGGGGAAACCCUGAUGCAGCGACGCCGCGUGUGGGAAGACGGUCCUCUGGAUUGUAAACCACUGUCCCCAGGGACGAAGAUGACGGUACCUGGGGCUGAAGCUCCGGCUAACUACGUGCCAGCAGCCGCGGUAAUACGGAGGGAGCGAGCGUUGUCCGGAAUUACUGGGUGUAAAGGGAGCGUAGGCGGGACUGCAAGUUGGGUGUCAAAUCUACCGGCUCAACCGGUAGCCGCACUCAAAACUGCAGUUCUUGAGUGAAGUAGAGGCAGGCGGAAUUCCUAGUGUAGCGGUGAAAUGCGUAGAUAUUAGGAGGAACACCAGUGGCGAAGGCGGCCUGCUGGGCUUUUACUGACGCUGAGGCUCGAAAGUGUGGGGAGCAAACAGGAUUAGAUACCCCAGUAGUC